rnacentral:rRNA from 1 species
UACGAAGGGUGCAAGCGUUAUUCGGAAUCAUUGGGCGUAAAGCGCGCGCAGGCGGAUCAGCAAGUCAGGUGUGAAAUCUCGGAGCUCAACUCCGAAACUGCGCCUGAAACUGCUAGUCUAGAAUGUCGGAGGGGGAAGGGGAAUUUCACGUGUAGGGGUAAAAUCCGUAGAGAUGUGAAGGAACACCGGUGGCGAAGGCGCCUUCCUGGACGACUAUUGACGCUGAGGCGCGAAAGCGUGGGGAGCAAACAGG